UCUGGAAUCGAAAGUUAGAAGCUCAGAUUCGAUGUUUUGGAAAUCCAUUUGUAUGUUGAUGCUAGAGGUGAUGGAUAAUAUGUCAAUUAAAGUUCGAGAGGGAGUUGUUUCAUUUUGGUUUGAUUGAUGGUUAGCACGAAGGCCCCUUGCGGCUAGUGUACCAAGUGUUAUUUAGCCUAGGUUGUAGGUGAAAGAUUGUUGGGUGGAUGAUAAGUGGGAUAGGGAUAUGUUGACUAAUCUGAUUGAUGCUAGAGAUGUAAAUGAUAUUAUUUCUGAAAUUCCAGGUAGAAGACUUGGACAAGAUAUCCUGAUUUGGCACCUUUGUGUGGAUGGGAGUUUUUCUACGAAAAUGGCUUGGGAAGUUACUUGUACUAAGCAGCCACAGUUUGAAGGUUUGGAUUAGAUUUGGUGUAAUAUGCUUCAGAAGAAAAUGUCUGUUUGUAUGUGGAAGACUAGAUUUAAUUACCUUCUAGUUGAGGAAAGAGUUCAGUUGGUGGGUAUUCCUUUAGCAUUUUGUUGUGUUUGUUGUUGAAUGGAUAUUUUGAAAAAUCGCAACCAUGUUUUAUGUACGGGAGCUGUGUGGCAAAGAGCUACUUGCAUGUUGGGUGUUCAGUGCAAGACGUUCAAUAGUUGGUGGUGCAAUGUUGCUAUUAGUUCUAGUGUGCCAAGAAGUCGACGCAGUGAGGUGAUAUCUAGUUUUCAUUACAUGUUGUCUCAUCAAUUUAGGAAGGAGAAUAAAGUGGCGGAUAUUUUAGCAAGAUAGGGAGAAGAGGGGUUAAAUUGUAUAUAUAUGGCUUUGAUGAAUUGCCCCUUCAUGUCAGAUGUUUGCUUCGUUUGGAUCUUCUUGGUUUGCCUAGUAUUAGGCCAUGAUUCUUGUACAGUUUUUUGGUUUAUUGUUUAAUUGUUUAGUUUAUUGUAUAGGUGUAUUUGUUAAAGUUUUUCUUGAUACAUGAGAUGGUUUUAUUCUGAUUAUUUAUAAAUCUCAAGUAUCUUGCUUGUUA